rnacentral:lncRNA from 1 species
AGUUUUGCCCCAAAUUUGACACGGUUUUCAUAAAUUCAGACAUAUAUAUAUAGCUGUACUUUAUCCUUCUGAUCACGUAGACACACGAAUCAGGAUUUACCCCUGUUUUUAUUUCGGCCCACAUGUUAGUGAGAAGUUCACAUGGCACGUAAAAACCGAUUGAUCACGACUUGCUACGAGACAUCCCACGUAAAAAAAUACACCAUUUGCUUUACGACAGCUUUGCGUGUUUGCGAAAAGUGUUAUUAAUUCAAGAACUUCUUUAAAAAAACUGGUACAAGAAAAGCACAUAAUGUCUUUUAAAUCAGAAAACGUGGUGUAAACCGAAAAUUGGCUCCAAAUUUGCCUGAGGGAGUCUGGAAACAGACAAAAACUUGGUUGCCAUAGAGAUCUCGAAUCACUUGAAAUAAGCUUGGGAAAAUUCACAAAUUGUGGUCAAAUUGUUUAAAACAUGAUGCUAAACUAGAAUAUCUGGUGUGGAAAACAAAAAUCAUUUAUUGAGGAAAAUCCGACGUCUUCCUCUCGUUUCUGGGGACACUGACGGGGUUAUCAUGCCCUGAUUGUUAAUUAUGCAACUUGUUUGACUGAAAACUAAUACGAAACUAUGAUAUCAACCACAUUACACUUAUAAGCAUUUUAAACAAAAAUGUUGAAGAUUAACGAAAAAAAUGGUGCAGUUGUUCAAGUUACCGUCGACCAUAACAUGUUUUCGCUUUCCUCACUAGGGGGGCGCUAAUACAUCGUUACAACAUCCCCUACAACAUUGCACAGCUCUUAGCCAUCAGGUUCCUAUUAAAGGGUAAACUCGACAGCCAUGACAGGGACAUUCGUGGACUUGGGAAAGGAAUAAAAAGGUUCAUAUUGAAGCGUAAGUCCAUCAACCACUACAGUGGCAUUCAUAGCCUCGGAAGAGGAACAAAAAGGUAUGUCUACGCAUUACUAACCAAGAAAGAAGACAAAUUUUCUGGAGUGAAGUCAAGAUAUAGCCCGAGAGCUGUUUAUAUUUGUAAAAAUUUUCA